rnacentral:rRNA from 1 species
UACAGAGGGGGCAAGCGUUGUUCGGAAUUACUGGGCGUAAAGGGCGCGUAGGCGGCCUGCUAAGUCGAACGUGAAAUCCCCGGGCUCAACCCGGGAACUGCGUCCGAUACUGGCAGGCUUGAAUCCGGGAGAGGGAUGCGGAAUUCCAGGUGUAGCGGUGAAAUGCGUAGAGAUCCGGAGGAACACCAGGGGCGAAAGCGGUCGACUGGUCGAGUUCUGACACUGAGGCGCGACGGCGUGGGGAGCAAACCGG